AUGAACGCUAGCUACAGGCUUAACACAUGCAAGUCGAGGGGCAGCAUGGUCUUAGCUUGCUAAGACUGAUGGCGACCGGCGCACGGGUGAGUAACACGUAUCCAACCUGCCGUCUACUCUUGGACAGCCUUCUGAAAGGAAGAUUAAUACAAGAUGGCAUCAUGAGUCCGCAUGUUCACAUGAUUAAAGGUAUUCCGGUAGACGAUGGGGAUGCGUUCCAUUAGAUAGUAGGCGGGGUAACGGCCCACCUAGUCUUCGAUGGAUAGGGGUUCUGAGAGGAAGGUCCCCCACAUUGGAACUGAGACACGGUCCAAACUCCUACGGGAGGCAGCAGUGAGGAAUAUUGGUCAAUGGGCGAGAGCCUGAACCAGCCAAGUAGCGUGAAGGAUGACUGCCCUAUGGGUUGUAAACUUCUUUUAUAAAGGAAUAAAGUCGGGUAUGGAUACCCGUUUGCAUGUACUUUAUGAAUAAGGAUCGGCUAACUCCGUGCCAGCAGCCGCGGUAAUACGGAGGAUCCGAGCGUUAUCCGGAUUUAUUGGGUUUAAAGGGAGCGUAGAUGGAUGUUUAAGUCAGUUGUGAAAGUUUGCGGCUCAACCGUAAAAUUGCAGUUGAUACUGGAUAUCUUGAGUGCAGUUGAGGCAGGCGGAAUUCGUGGUGUAGCGGUGAAAUGCUUAGAUAUCACGGAGAACUCCGAUUGCGAAGGCAGCCUGCUAAGCUGCAACUGACAUUGAGGCUCGAAAGUGUGGGUAUCAAACAGGAUUAGAUACCCUGGUAGUCCACACGGUAAACGAUGAAUACUCGCUGUUUGCGAUAUACUGCAAGCGGCCAAGCGAAAGCGUUAAGUAUUCCACCUGGGGAGUACGCCGGCAACGGUGAAACUCAAAGGAAUUGACGGGGGCCCGCACAAGCGGAGGAACAUGUGGUUUAAUUCGAUGAUACGCGAGGAACCUUACCCGGGCUUAAAUUGCAGAUGAAUUACGGUGAAAGCCGUAAGCCGCAAGGCAUCUGUGAAGGUGCUGCAUGGUUGUCGUCAGCUCGUGCCGUGAGGUGUCGGCUUAAGUGCCAUAACGAGCGCAACCCUUGUUGUCAGUUACUAACAGGUUCCGCUGAGGACUCUGACAAGACUGCCAUCGUAAGAUGUGAGGAAGGUGGGGAUGACGUCAAAUCAGCACGGCCCUUACGUCCGGGGCUACACACGUGUUACAAUGGGGGGUACAGAGGGCCGCUACCACGCGAGUGGAUGCCAAUCCCCAAAACCUCUCUCAGUUCGGACUGGAGUCUGCAACCCGACUCCACGAAGCUGGAUUCGCUAGUAAUCGCGCAUCAGCCACGGCGCGGUGAAUACGUUCCCGGGCCUUGUACACACCGCCCGUCAAGCCAUGGGAGCCGGGGGUACCUGAAGUGCGUAACCGCGAGGAGCGCCCUAGGGUAAAACUGGUGACUGGGGCU
rnacentral:rRNA from 1 species